rnacentral:rRNA from 1 species
AACGAACGCUGGCGGCAUGCCUAACACAUGCAAGUCGAGCGAGACCUUCGGGUCUAGUGGCGCACGGGUGCGUAACGCAUGGGAACCUGCCUUUAGGUUCGGAAUAACUCAGAGAAAUUUGAGCUAAUACCGGAUGAUGUCUUCGGACCAAAGAUUUAUCGCCUUUAGAUGGGCCCGCGUUGGAUUAGCUAGUUGGUGGGGUAAAGGCCUACCAAGGCGACGAUCCAUAGCUGGUCUGAGAGGAUGAUCAGCCACACUGGGACUGAGACACGGCCCAGACUCCUACGGGAGGCAGCAGUGGGGAAUAUUGGACAAUGGGCGAAAGCCUGAUCCAGCAACGCCGCGUGAGUGAUGAAGGCCUUAGGGUUGUAAAGCUCUUUUACCCGAGAUGAUAAUGACAGUAUCGGGAGAAUAAGCUCCGGCUAACUCCGUG